GACAUACCAGGUGGUUUCAAAUGGACAAGUCUUGGAUAAAGGCAGGUAGGGAUUCCUUACAGUAUGAAAUUGGUGUAGAAAAUUUCUUGAUUUUUGCGGAGGAAAACACUAAAAACCCAAAGAAAAUAUGUUUCUUCUGUUCACUUUGCGGUAACUUCAAAAAAAAUUAUGUCAAUGCAAUCAGGGGUCAUCUAUAAGAAUCUGGUAUUAGUUUAGGGUAUUUGGAUUGGAUGUGGCAUGGGGAAAAGGUUGUUAACAGUAUUAACUCAUAUGCGGGUAGUUCUUGCCCUACUAAAAAUUUCACACACAUAUUAGCGAAACAUUUAACGUAUAUGAACCAACCUAUAAUGAUGGAGAAUGCGAUAAUGAAUCAGAUGACUUUAUGAGGUUUGUUGCCGAUGCAGAACAAUCUCUUUUUGGGAGAAGUGAGUGCACCAAAUUAGAGUCCGUCUUGAAAGUACAUAAUUGGAAGGCUAGGUUUGGAGUUAGCGAUUAGGUCUUCACCGAUCUUCUUGAAUAUGUUGGCUCGUUUUUUCCUAAAGGUAAUGUGCUUCCGCCAAAUAUGUAUGGAGCGAAGAAAACCUUGACUGAUUUAGGACUUGAGUAUGUUAAAUUCCAUGCUUGUCCAAAUGACUUGUAUUAUACAGGGGUCUAGUUCUCGAGCCGUUAGCUGAGUGUCCCAAGUGCCAUCUUUCUCAAUGGAAAAUCGGAAAAGACGGUAAAGUUAGGAUUAACGGGCCAGCGAGAGUUAUGUGGUAUUUUCCGAUGAUCCCCAAAUUCAAACGGCUUUUUAAAUCUGUUGCUACUGCUAAAUUAAUGAGUUGGCAUGCGAAUAAUCGAUCUAAAGAUGGAAAGAUGCGUCAUCCAUUUGAUUCCCCUUCUUGGAGAAAUAUAGAUAGUAGGUGGCCUGAGUUUAGAAGUGAUGACAGAAAUAUAAGCUUAGAAUGAGCGGCAAAUGGUAUAAAUCCACACAAUAAUGGAUUAAACAAUCGGUAUAGCUGUUGACCCAGUUAUGUUAGUAACAUAUAAUCUUCCUCCAUGGUUAUGCAUGAAGAGAAAGUUUAUGAUGUUAAAAACAUUGAUUUCCGGCCCGCACGAGCCUGGAAAUAAUAUUGACAUAUAUCUACAACCAUUAAUCGAUGAUUUAAAAAAAUUAUGGGAGGAGGGUGAACCAAAUGUUUAUGAUGCACAUAGUAAAUCCUACUUCACUCUAAAGGCAGUUCUAAUGUGGACAUCGAAUGAUUUUUCGGGAUACGCAAAUCUGUCAGGCUGCAUAAAUAAGGGUUAUAUGGCUUGUCCAAUCUGUGGUGAUCAAACUGUGGCUAAAUAUUUAAAUCAUAGUAGGAAAAUGUGUUAUCUAGGUCAUCGUCGAUAUUUAGACCGUCAUCAUCCUUAUAGGAGGCAGCGAAUGGCUUUUGAUGGAGAACAAGAACUCGGUGAUGCACCUGAACCACUUAGCGGAGAAGAAGUGUUGGUGCAACAAUAGCAACUUGAAUUUAGUUUUGGGAAAGGGGGAAAGUCGAAAAAGUUGGAGUAUGCAUGGAAGAAACAAUCAAUUUUUUUAGUUAGAAUAUUGGAAGUUUCACCAUGUUCGUCAUUGUUUAGAUGUUAUGCACAUCGAGAAGAACGUGUGUGAUAACAUAAUUGGGACACUACUUAAUCUGAAAUUCAAGACUAAAGACAGCAAUGCCUAUCAUCUUGAUAUGGUUGAGAUGGGUGUAAGGGCUGAUUUAGCUCCUGAAAUAGGAGAAAAGAGGACAUACUUACCUCCUGCCCCUUUUACUUUGUUUAGAAAAGAAGAAAAACAAUGUUGACAUCAUUGUCCAAUAUGAAACUAUCAUAUGGACAUGCAUCCAAUAUAAAAGAUUAUGUCUCGAUGAUUGAUUUGAAGUUGUAUGGGCUGAAGUCUCAUGAUUGUCAUGUCCUCCUCCAACAAUUACUACCGGUUUGUAUUCGUUCCGUGCUUCCGAAAAAUGUAAGGGUAAGUAUAAUCAUAUUAUGCUUUUUCUUUAACUCUUUGUGCAACAAAGUCAUAGAUGUGUCAAAAUUGAGUAAACUCCAAUCAGAUGUGAUUCUAACCUUGUGCGAGUUGGAAAAAAAUAUUCCCUCCAUCAUUCUGAUGUUAUGAUACAUCUAACAGUCCACUUAGUAGGGGAAUUGCGUUUAUGUGGCCAGGUUUUUUUUAGGUGGAUGUUUCCAUUUGAACGAUUUAACAAAAUAUUGAAGAGUUAUGUAAGAAACCGAUUUUAUCCGAGAUAGCUGAAGGUUAUAUUAAAGAAGAAUCAAUUGAAUUUUGCACGGGGUUCUUUACCGAGAGUAGUAGAACUGCUGGUCUUGACAAAGAUGAAAAGUUUCCCGAUCCAGUUGGUGGCGUGAUAAUGAAGUCGGUGGCAGAAAAGGAACGAGAUGAGGCACAUCUCACAGUCAUCCUUAAUAAUAUUAAAGUGGAACCAUAUAUUAAGUUGCAUCAGGAAUAUUUGGACUGAAUUUACCACGGAAAAAAGAAGGGUGCGUAGUGGCUAUUGGGAGAGCACAAUCGACAAUUUGUGGACUGGUUUCAACAAAUAGUGAGUACAGAAAUCAGUGACGGGGAAGCGUUUCAGAAACAAUAAGACGGUUGGUAGGAAAACCAUCUUAUUCAGUGUUGAUUUAUGAAGGCUAUGUGGUUGACGGGGUCUGAUUCCACACAAAGGAGCGAUAUGAUGCUAGGGUAGUUCAAAACAGUGACGUGUCAUUAGUUGCUAGGACGGUCCAAGUUUCCAGUGCAAAGAAUAUAAAUCCUAUAGAGGCUGAUUUAACAUUUUUUGGCAUUAUAGAAGAAAUAUGAGAGUUAGACUA